CAAUCCUCCCAGGGCCCCCUGCCUCCUCUACUAGGUUUCUUCCUGCUUACUUCUCAAUUCCAGGGACAUUCUGGUAGUCUUUGAGCAGCGUAGAGGGAGGUGGGUCAUCAUCCAGCCUAGACUGGGCUGGUUUCCGGACGACAUAUCCGCGCGCGGCCUGGAGGAGGAGACUUCGAGGCUGCAGGCCCCACUGGUUGAAAGGAAACUUGGCGCUCCCACCGCCCGGCAGCCCGGGUACUAGGACCUGGGUAACUGCCCGGGUCCGAAUCAAACUCAGCGUCCUCCACGCGACCCUCAGCAUGGUGACCUCUAACCCCCGCGGGGCCCGCGCCGCGGCCGCCGUUCGCUUUGCGGCACGGACCG
rnacentral:lncRNA from 1 species